AGUGAACGCUGGCGGUAGGCCUAACAUAUGCAAGUCGAACGGCAGCACAGUAAGAGCUUGCUCUUACGGGUGGCGAGUGGCGGACGGGUGAGGAAUACAUCGGAAUCUACUUUUUCGUGGGGGAUAACGUAGGGAAACUUACGCUAAUACCGCAUACGACCUACGGGUGAAAGCAGGGGAUCUUCGGACCUUGCGCGAUUGAAUGAGCCGAUGUCGGAUUAGCUAGUUGGCGGGGUAAAGGCCCACCAAGGCGACGAUCCGUAGCUGGUCUGAGAGGAUGACACCCCAACUUGGAACUGGGACACGGGCCAAACCCCCAGGGGAGGCAGAAGGGGGGAAUAUUGGCAAAGGGGCGAAAGCCUGACCCAGCCAACCCGGGGGGGGGAAGAAGGCCUUCGGGUUGUAAAGCCCUUUUUUUGGGAAAAAAAAGCAGCAGGUUAAAACCCCGCUGUUCUGACGGUACCAAAAAAAUAAGCACCGGCGAACUUCGU
rnacentral:rRNA from 1 species